CCUUCCUAAGGCCAAAAGGCAUCAAUGUUCCCUGAGGGAAAGCUCAGUGAUUUCCAGCUCAGAGCAGCCUGUUUGGUCACUCCCUCCUGCCAGAGGGGAAAGGAUUGCUGGGCUUGGAUCUACAUCAGUCCUGCCAAGAGAGAACCUGGCAUUUGCAGCACAUCAUCUUCCUGCCAGCUACAGAACAGCAGUGACUUGGCAGAGCUUCCAUGGCCAGAUGUCACCCUCAUCUGGCUCUCUUGGCUCAGGCUGCUCCUUUGA